CAGCUUUAUUCAAGAGGCAACGAUGGCAUAUGAGUCCAGGAGAGAGGACCAACUAUGGCUUUCCAAAACGAGAUUUCUCCCGUAACAAAAGCUGACUAUGCCUAACAGAUAUACUAGAAUAAUACGGGGUAUAUCAUUGAAUCCAACGAUGAGUUGAAUCAUGAUGCUGGAAAAGAAGGAAGCAGGAAAGCUCAGAAGCAGAAGUUUGACUGAAAGUCCUGGAAGAGAGAAUCCAGUUGGCAAGACUUAAGUGGAGAGCUGCAGUAUGUGAGAGCAAAGUUUUGACAGAAGGAGCCAAAACUCCUUCUACCUCUUUGAGUUGCUCUUGUCUCAGAAGGCUAUGUCUUAACCAAUGAGAAAGGAUAAAUUCGCCCCUGUGGUUGAUAUUUAUGGGAAUGCAAGGUGACAGAAUCUCAAAGACUUCCUGGAGCUGCAGAGGGUGUUGCCAAUCAUCGUGGAAAUUUAAA